rnacentral:tRNA from 1 species
AUGGGUACAGCUCAGUGGUAGAGCGUGAUCUUAGCAUGCACAAGGUCCUGGGUUCAAUCCCCAGUACCCCCA